AAGAGCAAGAAAAAUUGUAAAUAAUCAAAACACGAAUAAAUCACAAAAUAUAAGCUAUGUUGCUCAAUUACUUUGUCUAAACACAGUUACAGCAGGAAAACUCAAAAAAAUUUACUCAACAAAAAAUUACAGUAACUUCUUUUAUAGGAACAACCAGUUAAGUAAACAAAUAAAUAAAUAAUUUAUUAAACUUAUUUUCUUCUUCUUUUGCUGGGUUUUUUUAGUAAGCUAGUACUAAGCUUGGUUUUUCUAGGUAGAUUCUCAAUAGAAAUUGAAGAAGAAUUCGUCUUCGGAGUUAAACUUGCUAAAAAGUUAUCUUCAGAGUCUGAAUCUGAAUCAGAGGAAUUUUUGCUUGCCAUCAUUUUCUUCCUUCUAAGAAUACGGCUUUGUAGUUCAUCUGAUCCUUUAGAUUCACCAAAUGCAUCUGCGUCUGCCUGAAUUUCUUCACUCAUUGGGCUUUGAUUGCUAAUCUGAUUUUUAAAAGAUGAAAGAGCAUUUUCAAGCCGUUUACUCUUAAAAUGGUAUGCAACUCUCGGCGCAUAUACAUUAGUAUUACCACCUUCAAAAAACUGAGUCAAAUUGGACUGUGUACCCACGAAUUGCUUUUUAUGCAUGUCUUGUAUAACCGGAAGUAAAACUUCAUUAGUUCGUUGUUUUGACCAACCCACAGUAGCCAUCAAAAACUGGCGUAACUCGUCAAGGUCGGGUAUGCCCCAUUGAAACGAUUGCUUGCUAUCAUCCACGGCCGGAUGAAGAUAAGCUUCAUCAACUAACGGAUUAGGAAAUUCUGAUGGUAAAAUAAUUUUUCCAACCAACUUGUUAAUUCUCUUUUUUACUGGCGUAUUAACAUCAUUUUUUGAUGCGUGUCCAGUUGAUAAACGUUGAAACCAUUUUUUAAAUUCAAAAAGUCCAGUGUCACCAGGAAAUUCAUGUAAAAUCUCCAGUGCAAGAACUGGACCUACCCUAGAAAGUCCCAUAGUAUAAUCACUUCCCAAAAGAUGUGCCAACUUAAUUAAAUCCAUUUGAUUCACAUUAAAUUCUCUUUUCAUAUCAUCCAUUAAAUAGAGUUCGACAAAUUUGUUCUGAUUAAACAUAUUUCGAUAUACCCGAGUUCCACCAAAAAGAAACACGUCUGAGUCAUCAGUAACAAUCCCAUCAACCAGCUUUAGCUCCAAAAGUUUAGAACACUGGGCUUCUGCUUCUUGAGGAGCAACGAUAUAUGGUAAGCCAAAUAAACGCAGAAGUUCUUGACAUUCUUUAAUCAUUACUUGAGUGACCUCAUCCGCAUCACGUUUUUCAGACCUUUUUUGAUUUUUGAGCUCUUUCAACCUUUUUUCAAAGGCCUCUUGAUUCCACUCUUCAGUUUCAUGUCGUUGAUUGAGUUCUGAAACAAACCGAUCAUAUUCCUUUUCUUCUUCUGCCAUCCUGAUAAUCAUUUCCUCUUCUUCCUCAUCUAAAAGUUUUUCAACCACUUCAGGCUCUACUUUCGAACUCAAGGCAGCAGCUCCUUUAUUUGGAGAGGCUUCUUUUUGAAAGUCAGUUGGAAUGCUAAGUGAAGGGCUGCUGGUCUCUAAAGUAGGAAGAACAGCGUCAAUUGAUUCGGAUUUGAUAUCCCCAGUAUCCUUAGCAUUUUCGGAGCUCAAUAAAUACACUGACAUGGCCUUAUCACUAGAAACAUUUAAUGGGUUGGUAACUGUGCCAUCAUCAGCUUGUUCUUUCAUAUUCUCAAAGGGUUCCAAAGGAUUGAGUUCACGUAAGUCUAAAUCUUUUUCAUCAUCUUUUACCGGAAGAAGAGGUGAAAUAAUUGGAUUUUCAAUUCCAGGUUUAGCAGCGUCUAAAUCGGAUUCAAUAUUAACUGUUGCAUUAAUAGUAUGUAAAUUUGUAUCUUCCACAAGUUUAGAAUUAUCCGGUGCCUCACUUGGUAUAUCAGUUUUAGAAUCCAUAAAUGUUUCAGUUGGUUUCUUUAAUUUCUCGAAAAAAAUAGACUUUCCCCAAUCCAUAGGCUGAAAAGGUAAAGGAUCAAUUAAAUCAUUGGUUUUUUUCUCUCUACUCGCAGAUGGAAGGGCAUCCAUAAAAAUUGAAGUCCCAUUUUCAGGAUGCUUUUUUUCCGCGAAUGCUAAUGAAUCAUUGGAAACAUCUCCAACAUGUUCAAGUUUCAAAUUUUCCUCGUCGUUAAGAAGUGAAUUCAUUGAAUCCUCUGCAGGAAUAUCGGUCGACAAAAUUUCAAACGUCUUUUUCUCGCUAUUCAACUUAUCAAACUCAGAAGCCGAAAGACUAAACAGCUCUUUUGAUUUUUUGUUUUCCUCUAGAGAUUGCUGGGUUGCUAAUUGAAGUAUUAAAUCAUCAGUAACAUUAUAAUCUGCUUCAUCUGAUUGCUGAUUUUCCGAAAAUGAAUUUUCUUUUAUUUCCUUUAAUUUAGCGGCUACCAAUUCUCUAGGGUUCAUGCUAUGAGAUCGGCUAGGUAAAGGCACAUCGUAGAAUGCCUCAUCCUCGUCUUCGUCUAUAAGAUUGCUGCUAAGUUUUGUAGCCUCAUCAUCAAUAAUAAUAGGUUCAUUGUUUGUAGAUCCUGAGAUAACACCGAGAGCCCAUCCACCUUCAGCACCUUCGUUUUUUACUAAAAUAUAUUCUCGGUUUUUUUCACUUACUACUCUAGAGGGUCCAAACUCAUUCAUUCCAGUAAAGUCCAUUAAUCUCUGAGUUAAAUCGUUACGUUCCUUCAGUCUCUCAAUUUGAAAACGAGAGAAAUCCAUUCUAUUAGGAAACAUCUCGGAAAGUUGUUCAGAGCUUAAACCCAUUCGUAAACGAGAGCGUAAUCUUGCUGCACUUAAA
rnacentral:lncRNA from 1 species